AUGGAGAGAUACAAGGAGCAAAAGAAGGACUUGCAUAUGGUGUUCAUUGACUUGGAGAAGGCCUAUGAUAAGAUACCGCGGAAUGUCAUGUGGUGGGCCUUGGAGAAACACAAAGUCCCAGCAAAGUACAUUACCCUCAUCAAGGACAUGUACGAUAAUGUUGUGACAAGUGUUCGAACAAGUGAUGUCGACAAUGAUGACUUCCCGAUUAAGAUAGGACUGCAUCAGGGGUCAGCUUUGAGCCCUUAUCUUUUUGCAUUGGUGAUGGAUGAGGUCACAAGGGAUAUACAAGGAGAUAUCCCAUGGUGUAUGCUCUUUGCGGAUGAUGUGGUGCUAGUUGACGAUAGUCGGACAGGGGUAAAUAGGAAGUUAGAGUUAUGGAGACAAACCUUGGAAUCGAAAGGGUUUAGGCUUAGUAGAACUAAAACCGAGUACAUGAUGUGCGGUUUCAGUACUACUAGGUGUGAGGAGGAGGAGGUUAGCCUUGAUGGCCAGGUGGUACCUCAGAAGGACACCUUUCGGUAUUUGGGGUCAAUGCUUUAG
rnacentral:rRNA from 1 species